ACCAACAGGGAUUGCCCCAGUAACGGCGAGUGAAGCGGCAGCAGCUCAGAUUUGAAAUCCGGCCCCGGCCCCGGGGCCCGAGUUGUAGUCUGGAGAGGACGCUUCGGGGGUCGGCCGGGCCCAAGUCCCCUGGAACGGGGCGUCAGAGAGGGUGAGAGCCCCGUCUCCGGCCCGGCGUGGGCCCCCCCGCGAAGCUCCCUCGAAGAGUCGAGUUGUUUGGGAAUGCAGCUCAAACCGGGUGGUAAAUUCCAUCUAAAGCUAAAUACCGGCCAGAGACCGAUAGCGCACAAGUAGAGUGAUCGAAAGAUGAAAAGCACUUUGGAAAGAGAGUCAAACAGCACGUGAAAUUGUUGAAAGGGAAGCGCUCGCGGCCAGACCCGCGGCCCGCGGCCGCUCAACCGGAGGGCUCCGGCCCCCGGCGCAGUCGGCCGCGGCCCCGGCCAGCAUCGGUCCGGGCGGCGCGAGGAAGGCCCCGGGAACGUGGCCCCCCACGGGGGGCGUUACAGCCCGGGGCGUCACGGCGCCCGCCCGGACCGAGGACCGCGCUCCGGCGAGGAUGCUGGCGUAAUGGCCGCGAGCGACCCGUCUUGAAACACGGACCAAGGAGUCUAACGUCUGCGCGAGUGUUUGGGCGUCAAACCCGGACGCGCAAUGAAAGUGAACGGAGGUGGGAACCCCCCCGGGGGCGCACCAUCGACCGGUCCAGAUGUCCUCGGACGGAUCUGAGUACGAGCGCAGCCGUUGGGACCCGAAAGAUGGUGAACUAUGCCUGAAUAGGGUGAAGCCAGAGGAAACUCUGGUGGAGGCUCGCAGCGGUUCUGACGUGCAAAUCGAUCGUCGAAUUUGGGUAUAGGGGCGAAAGACUAAUCGAACCAUCGUCCCAGGUACAGCCGCUACUAGGUGGUUGAGAGGCCGCCCAAUUGUGCGCCUAGUCCUCGUUCACGGGGCGACACUGCCAAAUUGCGGGGAC
rnacentral:rRNA from 1 species